rnacentral:rRNA from 1 species
GACGAACGCUGGCGGCGUGCUUAACACAUGCAAGUCGAACGCUGAAGCUCAGCUUUUGUUGGGUGGAUGAGUGGCGAACGGGUGAGUAACACGUGAGUAACCUGCCUCCUUCUUUGGGAUAACGCCCGGAAACGGGUGCUAAUACUGGAUAUUCACUGGUCUUCGCAUGGGGGUUGGUGGAAAGGGUUUUUCUGGUGGGGGAUGGGCUCGGGGCCUAUCAGCUUGUUGGUGGGGUGAUGGCCUACCAAGGCUUUGACGGGUAGCCGGCCUGAGAGGGGGACCGGUCAGAUUGGGACUGAGAUACGGCCCAGACUCCUACGGGAGGCAGCAGUGGGAAUAUUGCACAAUGGGCGCAAGCCUGAUGCAGCGACGCCGCGUGAGGGAUGGAGGCCUUCGGGUUGUGAACCUCUUUCGCUCAUGGUCAAGCCGCAACAAUGGUUGUGGUGAGGGUAGUGGGUAAAGAAGCGCCGGCUAACUACGUG